rnacentral:lncRNA from 1 species
GGGCUGCGCUUACACAGGCAAUUCCCUGGGCCAAACCACUGGCUGCUUUGGGGGCAAUGUUUUGGUUUGGGCCCUUGAAUCAGAAGACUAUUGUAGCAAAUCUUUGCCAUUUCAGCCUCAACCAAGGGGAAUUGUUACUCUUUCUGAGUUUCUUCCCCCCCCCCGCUCCCCAACUAUAUUUUUAAAUAAUAACAUUAGUUGCCUUUCUGAAAAAAGAAAACAAAGAAGUAUCCGUAGUAAAAGAAGAAACACAAGGGAUCAUAGACACUUAAAGCCGCUUUUUGCAAUUAUAAAAAUGCCAUCAGUUCUGACAUUUUUGCCUUCUGAUUCUAACUUCAAAGAUGGUUUUUCAGCAGCAGAUGCAGAAACAGGACUGAAAUUGGUAGAAGAGGGAGUACCAAAGAACAUUUAGCCCUAAUGGUGGUUCCUCUACAGAUAAUAUUGCCUCUGAUUAUCAGCAAAUUCACUGCAGGUCCACAGUGCACAGGAGUAU